GCCGGUGUAGCUCAGUGGUAGAGCACUCGCCUUGUAAGCGAGCGGCCGUCGGUUCGAAUCCGACCACCGGCU
rnacentral:tRNA from 1 species